rnacentral:rRNA from 1 species
UACGGGGGGAGCAAGCGUUGUUCGGAUUUACUGGGCGUAAAGGGCGCGUAGGCGGCCACCGCAAGUCGACUGUGAAAUCUCCGGGCUUAACCCGGAAAGGUCAGCCGAUACUGCGGGGCUAGAGUGCAGAAGGGGCAACUGGAAUUCUCGGUGUAGCGGUGAAAUGCGUAGAUAUCGAGAGGAACACCUGCGGCGAAGGCGGGUUGCUGGGCUGACACUGACGCUGAGGCGCGAAAGCUAGGGGAGCGAACGGGAUUAGAAACCCCCGUAGUCC